rnacentral:miRNA from 1 species
AUUUGAAUGGGCUUUGGAUCAG